GCUGAUAUAGCUCAACGGUAGAGCAAUGGUUUUGUAAUCCAUUGGUUGGGGGUUCAAAUCCCUUUAUCAGCU
rnacentral:tRNA from 1 species